rnacentral:rRNA from 1 species
UACGUAGGGUGCAAGCGUUGUCCGGAAUUAUUGGGCGUAAAGCGCUCGUAGGUGGCUUUUCGCGUCUGCCGUGAAAGCCCAUGGCUUAACUAUGGGUCUGCGGUGGAUACGGGCAGGCUAGAGGCUGGUAGGGGCAAGCGGAAUUCCUGGUGUAGCGGUGAAAUGCGCAGAUAUCAGGAGGAACACCGGUGGCGAAGGCGGCUCGCUGGGCCAGUUCUGACGCUGAGGAGCAAAAGCGUGAGGAGCGAACAGG